rnacentral:lncRNA from 1 species
GGGAGCUCUGGGGGGCUCUGGUGGGUUGAUAUUGUUAUUCUUCCUAUGGGGUUGCAAACCCCUUCAGCUCCUUUAGUCCUUUCUCUAACUCCUCUAUUGGGGACACCGUGCUCAGUCCAAUGGUGGGCUGCAAGCAUCCACCUCUGUAUUUGUCAGGCUCUGGCAGGGCCUCUCAGGAGACAGCCAUAUCAGGCUCCUUUCAGCAUGCACUUCUUGCAUCCACAAUAGUUUGGUAACUGUAUAUGGGAUGAAUCCCCAGAUGGGACAAUCUCUAGGUGGCCUUCCCUUCAGUCUCUGCUGUACACAUUGUCUCCAAAUUUGAUCCCGUGAGUAUUUUACUCCCCUUUCUAAGAAGGACAGAAGCACCCACACUUGCUCUUCCUUCUUCUUGAGCUUCAUGUGGUCUGUGAAUUAACUGUAUCUUGGGUAUUCCAAGCUUCUGGGAUAAUAUUCACUUUCAGUGAGUGCAUACCAUGUGUGUCCUUUUGUGAUUGGGUUACCUUACUCAGGAUGAUAUUUUCUAGUUCCAUCCAUUUGCCUAAGAAUUUCAUGAAUUCAUCCUUUUUUAAAGCUGUGUAGUACUCCAUUGCCUGUGUCAAGAGGUCUUUGGGCUUUGAUCUGGGUCUUUGCUUUGGUGUUGGCUCGGGCUCAUCUCCUCAAGCAGCUUCUUCUCGUCCUCCUUUUUGAUCAGCCGCCUGUCCACGAACAGGGCUUGGCGCUGUCCCCACCGAGGGCUGCACGCGGGUUUUGCCUUUGUUUUCUAGAUUUGCAGGGACGUGCAGGGAAUUUGGGGCCUCUUGUUCUGCUUGUCCAAAGGACUCAGAUGACUCGCCUCCCCCCAGCCUCAACCCUUGACAUUGAAACAUAGCUGGAAAGAGCCUGUUUUUCAACACCCCCCCCCCAAGAGCCGCGACUUGCUGCCACUAGCCUUCUGAUGGCUUGUGUGAGGUUCCUCCCUUCCUGACCUUCUGAAGCCAUUUUGGUGUGCCCUCUUUUCCCCCUUUUUGGCAGGGUAGAGGACUGGUCAGCGAUAUUUGUCUUGGAGACCACGCUCUGACUUGUCUGAGUUUCUGGGUUGACACUGUGGGACUCGGCAGCUUUCUGACUCUUGGAGCAUGGGUCGGACACUAAGGGCGGGUGUUUAGCAUGGGGGUUGGGCUGGCAAGAGACUCGUAAGGUAAAUGGCACCAAGAAGUUGUGGCAUUUGUGUGACUUCCAAGCUCGUUGCAGGAGCACCCUGGGAAGAAGGCCUAACAGCCCAGAACUUGUGGUAUCAAAUUUUGUGAAUAUCUCUUUCCUCUGUUCCUCUGCCCAUCCAUCCAUCCAUCCAUCCAUCCAUCCAUCCAUCCAUCCAUCCAUCCAUCCACUCACCCAUCUAUCCAUCCAUCCAUCCAUCCAUCCAUCCAUCCAUCCAUCCAUCCAUCCAUCUAUCCAUCCAUCCACUCACCCAUCUAUCCAUCCAUCCAUCCAUCCAUCCAUCCAUCCAUCCAUCCAUCCAUCCAUCCACUCACCCAUCUAUCCAUCCAUCCAUCCAUCCAUCCAUCCAUCCAUCCAUCCAUCCAUCCACUCACCCAUUCAUCCAUCCAUCCAUCCAUCCAUCCAUCCAUCCAUCCAUCCGUCUGCCCGUUCAUCUGUCUGUCCAUCUGUCUGCCCCUCCUUCUGUCCCUCCCUUCCUUCCCUCUCCCUCUCUCUUUGCCUGUGGUUUUUGGCUCCUUCCCAAUGAUCUGAUUUCCCUUUCUGCCUUUAGUGAAGCCUCCCUUCAUCUCAGGAACGUGUGACUUUAGUGACUCAUGAAACCAGAGGCUGAGAGAAGUCACACUGGCAAGGAAUUCCUCAGCAGUGCCCACCCCCCACCUUUUUGCCUUUUCUAACAACAGCAAGUCCCUCCUGGCAUACGCCACGCCCCCAUGCUCCAAUAUACCCCCAUGAUGCCUACCCUUGAGCUCCCAAGCUUCCAGGUCCCCCACAGCUGCAGUCACCCACCCCAGGGAUCGAGGGGGCUGGGCAGCGUGGCAUGGGUAACUCUUUAAUGAUCUAGAGCUUGGUUUUGUGCUCAGGAAGGACUCUGAAGAAACGUGACUUUAGUUUUUUAAAUGAGUAUUUGGAAAUCUUUUGUUCCUUAAACUUUCCACUCCAGUUUUCAUUUUGUGCUCUGGCCGGCUGUAGCAAUCAACCGAGAAAGAUGGUAAGACUUCGGGCUCUUCCCUAGCCACCUCUGAGGCAACGUGUCCCCCACCCCCUAACCCCCAUCCCCACCUGCCUGCUCACUCGUGAUACGUUACCUGCACAGGCACUGCUGGCCUGUUCUGGCCCAGGCUCUGUCAAAGGCUCCUUUCUCCCUCUGUAUUUAAGAGGAGUUGGUCUGAAGAGACUGCUUGUGUACCACUCUGCUCACAUGUGACCUUGGGCUUGGCUUAGGGCUCUGUUCUUGUCAUCUUGGAAGUUCUUAAUUUUUUUGAAAUAGUUGGUUUUUUAGCACUGGGCUGUACAGAUCAGUCCCAUGGUUCUGAAGAAGGGGCCACGCCAGAGAAGUAUGCUGGUGUCAGAGCGGAGGUGUGCCCAUAGAAGGUUCUCAAGUGGAGGAGAAGAGCAGCCAGAGGCUGGUAUUGAAGGGUGGGGAGAAAGGGCAAGGUAGGAAGGCUCAAAAGCUUUUUAAACAGGAGGAAUAGGUCUGGGAAUCGUAUUGAAUUUAGGAAAAGAGGAACUCCCCAUUAACAUGCCUACUUGUGAGACAGUUCUGUUUAGCACUCCAGUCCUUGGCCUGAUAGUGUGACACACAGCCCGUAACACUGUCCCAACAUAACUGCCAAACAGUGGCCACUUUCACUCCAAGUACCAGUGUGGUGGGUUUCUCUGACAAGCAAGGUUUUUCUCUGACAAGGUCUCGGUUUUCUGAGACCCCAUCCCCUUUGCUGGGGGAAGCAGAAGCCAGUCGGUCAGGUGGCAUUACCACAGAGCCACCAAUGGCCUGUGUAAAGUUGGCCACGUGCACAUAUAUGUCAAGGCCAGAGGUAAGAUCAGAUGGUGUUUCUUAGGAGCCGUCAUCACCGUUGUCUGUCGUUGUUGUUUUGAGACGGGAUCUCUUAUUGGCCAAGACCUCAUCCUUCAGGUGCAGCCGGCUGGCGAAUGAGUUCCAGGGACCCACCUGCUUUUGCCUUCCCAGUGCUGAGAUAUGGAUUUCAGGAUUUUAAGAGCACGCCUCUAUGCUUGCCCCCCCUCCCCCCUUUUUUUUUCUUCUGUGAGUCCUAGGGAUCAAACUCAGGUCCUCAUGCUUGUCAUACAAGCACUUUGUCUGUCAAGCCACUCUUAGGGUUUGGUGAAACUUCUUACUGGUUACUUACCUGUAGGCGCUUGGAGCCCCGCCCCCACCCGGGACUCUGCGUCUCUGGCAAGUCUCAUUUUCCUCUGGGUCCAUUUGUCGAUGAGGCCGACUGUCCUUGAUGUCUCGAGUUGGGUGGAUCUGUUGGAGAAAAUCCUCCAGGGCAGGGCAUCUUCAGGAAGGUGAGGGUGCUAGGGAUCCAGGAGUAGUCCUUGAUGUCCUUGUUGCCAUGGUCACCUGCAGCUACAGCAGGAUCAGAAGCUGAUGGCGUGUUUCCCUUUGGGCGAAGGCAUGGGAACUCUAGUACAGAGGGGCUGAAUUGAGCAUGCGCAGUUCGUCAUCAAUGGUUUAAACUAGGACUUACUCAUGUUUAUUCUCCCUUUGAGUGGGGUUUCUCAGCACUGUGCCUUACCCACCCGUGGAACUCCAUUAUGAAGCUAAUCAUUGCUUUAACACAGAGCCUCCCUGGCGUACGGGCACCUUUAAUACACAUAGAUGUCGUUCUGCAUCUCCCGUCUUACUCAGCAGUGGGCUUUAAGAUGUGGCUGUCCCUCCACGCACUGGAAACUUACUGAGAUGACCCAAAGAGCUUUUGUUUAUGCGGGUUAAAGCUAUUGACAGUCACCAUGCUUGCGGCUUAAAACAGAGACUUUUAAAGUAUAUACGGAUUCACUUGAAAAGAGCCGUGAUGAAUGCAUCCUGUGUUGAUGCAGAUAACGUUUUGGUGUUGCAACGAAAAUGGUUUUGUCUCAGCAGACCCCUCUUUCUAGACUGAUGACAGUUUGUUCCUCAGUGUGGAGGGGGUUUCAUGAACGAUGGAAACUUAGAAAGCGAGUUUGGUUUGCGUGGUCUUAUAAUACACGUGCUGGAAAAGGAGCCGUGGGGUGGAUUAAAUUUUAGCAAAACUCUGUUUAGGAUUAGUGGGGUCUGGACCCUUAGCUUCUGAGUGAUAUCAUUGCUGGUAUUGAAAAGGCCGUGUCGCUUGGCAGAUGUUCUGUGCUGUACCAGAACACUUCCUGGUGUGGUGUGUGGGAUUUGUUGUGUCUCAUACAAAACCCCUCACUUUAAAAUGGCAUGUGUUCGUUUUACUUUUAUUUUUGCAAUUCUUACUGCAUAGGCUAUUAUAAAAAUCCCAAAAUAGUCUUUGCCUUGCUAGAGAGCACAGGUUGAUGGUUUUUUAGCACAUCAUCGAGGUGUCUAAACAUCACUGCUACCUUAUCUCUUAUUUUAAUUCUAAAACUUUUUUUUUCCAAAAUGAGACUUCAUAUUCUUUCUACAUCUCCAGCCCAGGGGAAUCCAUGCUUUGUCUGUAUUGAUUUGCUUAUUCUGGAUAGUUCAUGUCACUUGAUUUUUUUUUUCCAGAAUGUGUGGCCCUUUCUGAUUGGUCUUGUUCACACUGCAGCCUGGGUUGGGGGUCCACCCGUGUCGUUGCCUGCAGUGUUACCCUGUGCUUAUUUGUGAUUAAAUUGCACCCGACUAUAGGGAUGCAUGCCGUGUUUUGUUUCUCUGUUCAUUGGUAGGUGGCUCUUCAAAGUGCUUCCACUUUAGAAUCAUUACAAAUGAUGCUGUGAAAUGUCUGUUUGCAUGAGUUUUUAUGUGGAUGCACAUCUUCAACAUUCUGUUUGCUUUUGAGUGUCACCGAUCCGGUGGGUAACUGUAGCUUGUUGUCUCAGCACCUGUGACUACACAUUAACAGCCCCCCCCCCCUCACACCCACACAACACGAUUUUGCUGUGACAGUGCUCCAGCUCCUGCCUUCCCAAACUAAGUAGGGAGAAAUGAAAGAAGCUGGCUCCUUGGGACGUCUUUUACACCUACAGUCUUGGGGAUUUCUCGGGGUGGGGCAGGGCUUAAAAGGCAAAGAGAGUUUGUUCUCUUACUGUAAGAUCUGUAUAAGAAGAGUUGCCAGAUCCAAAGAGGAUCUGCCCAGGGUUCCUCAGGUUUCUCUUGUACAGAAAAAAUGGUGUUAAGAAAUCCAUUUUGGAUCAUGUAUGUUUGCUGGGACGUCCCUUUGGUGUGCCAAGGGUCUUCCUUGUGUCUCUCUGCAGGUCUUUCCCUUUCUGAUCUGGUUGGUUUGCCACUGCAGCCGGGGAGGUCUCUACCAGCAGGUGGCGCUGCUCCGUAGCUUGUGUCUCACUAGAAAGGAUAUCCAACCUCCCAGUGAAUGACUGACUAUGGGAGGUUCCUCAGACCAACAAGAGGCAGCGCCCGCCCCCGCCCGUAUCAAGUUGGUGUUCAUGACCUUUGCUGAUCCAGAAGCAGGUGGCUUGCUGUAGGCUGACGUGAUCCCUGAUACAGCGGGAUGAGAAGUAACUGUAUAGAGGGCCGUGUGACGUAAUAGAGUGUCGGGGUGAUCUCUUAUUUAUUUAAACUAUUGGUAAUGUUCUAUUUAUUUCUAGGCUACCUUGGGGGAAGCUCCAUACACACACCGCACACCCCCUAUUCACUCCUUUGUAAACCCCAAUGAUUAAAUAGGCUCUGCUUUUGUAAACCGAAAUAAAGCAUUUGUAAGUCAUUGUUUUCCACGGGUGUGCACGGAUGUGUCUCACUCUGGUUUUAACCUUGCUUUCCCCCAAUGUCCACUGGUGUCACUCACCCUCACAUACUCUUUAGUGAUGUGUCAGGGCAAGGUACUUUGAAGGGCCCUGCAUGGGGGAUGGGAACUCGAGGUCCAGGAAAGAAAGCCUGAACGGAGGAUGUCGGUCUUAGAAUGGAAGCAAAAGGUGGAUGAGAGGGAGACUUGGCACACGAAGGCAAGCCUUGGAGCAACUCCUAGGCCCCACCCCUCUUCAGCCUCUCUCUUGCUCUCAUCAUGGGAUGGGUGUGUAUAUUCAGGUCCACCACACCGAAAGACACAAGUGUGCUCUUGGAGCUUGCCAGGUUCAGAGGAGCCCCAUAUUCUAAGCAGGAAUGCUCUGGUUCACCUGAGGUGUAGUGUGUUCCCCACCCCAAACCCCCACCCAAAGGUUCGUGUAACAGGGAGGUUGCCCCCCAGAGGUUCCUGGAGGACCUGUGACUUCACUGCAACUUGGGUUAUGGGCUGGACAUGGUGGCGCAUGCCUUCAAUGGACGUAUCCAGGAGGCAGAAGCAGAGAGGCAGAGGGGCAGAGGCAGGAGCAGAGGGGCAGAGGAAAAGGGGCAGAGAGGCAGAGGCAGGUGCAAAGGGGCAGAGGCAGGGGCAAAGGGGCAGGGGCAGGGAGGCAGGGAGGCAGGGAGGCAGGGAGGCAGGGAGGCAGGGAGGCAGGGAGGCAGGGAGGCAGGGAGGCAGGGAAGCAGAGACAGAGGCAGGCACUUCCCUCUGAAUUUGAGGCCAGCCUAGUCUUCAUAGUGAGUUCCAGGCCAGCCAGGGCUACACAGUGAGACCCUGUCUCAAAAGAUCAAAACCAAACAAGAAUAAUCCGACAUGCGCUAUUUUGUACCCUGUGUACUGCUGUUCCAGGAAACACCAACCAACCUGCCUGAAGCACCUCUCUGCUCAGAUCUGAGGUUUCUGCAAGCUGUGGAUCACACUGUUCUUAUUGCAUCAAGGAAGAUAUCUGCUCUAAUAGAAACACAAUAGUUUAGAUAUGGGAAACAAAAGACAAUAUUUCCCUACUGCCACUUCUCAGCAUGUAUCUAAUUAGUCUCCCUUUGAUUGUAUGCUGUCAAACAAACUCAUCUGUCUUAUUAUCCUGCAAAUUUUCUUCCACUUUUAAUAAACAGUAAAUUUAUAUGUUUACCAAAG